ACUUCCAUCAAUAGAAACCACCAUGGCCAGCUGUUCUUUUUUCAUGGCCUUGCUUUUUAUAUCCAUUUGGAACAGCAACUAGCGCACUCUGUCAUCUCUCCUGCAAGGUCCCAUGAAGUUAUCAGUGCUUGUGACUACAGCCAACAGCGUGACAUUUGGAGCACAGGUGUCAUUAUGUACAUGCUUUCUUGUGGCUGUUACUAACCCACCAAUCUAAAAACCCUGGCCUGUGAAUUACUGACCACUGCAGUGUAGUGCUUGUUAGUACAGAAUUGUUGAACUGUUUGAUGGAAGAUACUCCUUGGACACGGAA